ensembl:ncRNA C33G3.11 ncRNA
GGUGGAAAUAUAUUGAGACGCAGGCGUACCGAUUGGAAAAGAGAUCAAGAAAAUAAGAAGAAGAGACGAGUUUCCCGGGAGCCCGAAAGUGAGUUGAUGACGAUGAAAAGACGGGGCUCUCUUGG